rnacentral:rRNA from 1 species
GAUGAACGCUGGCGGCGUGCCUAAUACAUUCAAAUCGAGCGAACGUACGAUAAUCUUUCUUCUCUGAUUUUAGCGGCUGACGUGUGAGUAACACGUGUAUAACCUACCUAUAUUACUUGGAUAACUUCGUGUAACCGUAGCUAAUACCGUAUAAUAUUUUGAACCGCAUGGUUCAAUAGUUAAAUACGGUCUUUCUUUCACUUAUAGAUGUAUCCGCGCUGCAUUAGCUAGUUGGUAAGGUAACGGCUUACCAAGGCAACGAUGCAUAGCAGACAUGAGAGGGUGAUCGGCAAAACUGGAACUGAGACAAGGUAAAGACGACUACGGGAGGCAGCAGUAGGGAAUCUUACGCAAUGGGCGAAAGCAGGACGGAGCAACGCCGCGUGAGUGAUGAAGGACUUCGGAUCGUAAAACUCUGUUAUUAGGGAAGAAAAUAUGUGUAAGUAACUGUGCACAUAUUGACGGUACCUAAUCAGAAAGAAACGGCUAACUACGUG